UCAAUGUUUCCCCUUUUUCUUUCCCUGUUCUUGAGAACCAAGCAAGCCUAAGAAGUUCCAUUCAAUAGAAAUUCUAUGCAAUAUAAUAGUGAAGGCAUGUAGAGUGCAGAAUCAAAAUGCAAGAAUUUAACUGCCAGACAAAUAAAUUUUAGAUCCAGGGUUGGAGAUUCUUUACAUUGCAGUUUGAUGAGGAUCCAAGUAGAAAUAUGUUGACAGAAGAGAGGGAGCACAACCCAGCAUCAGCUAAAGACUCUUUGCUUUUCUUGGGAGUGUGCUCUCUCUUCUUCUGUCAUCAUCACACUCCCAUCCUCCAACCAAUCAUUCACCAGUCAUGUUGCUGCAUGGCAUGCAUUCACUUCAUCAUGUCAUUACUGCAAUAUAAACAAUAAGAAUAUAUGGAUUAGAUUCUUAGGAUGACACUACAGUUGAAUCCCUGUGUAUAAGAACAUACAUGCAUGGAUUUCAUGUAUAAGAUGGUUUUUGCUAGGAAUUACGAAUUUCUUA
rnacentral:precursor_RNA from 1 species